ACAGUCACACGAGUUUGAUCAUGGCUCAAGGAUGAACGCUAGCGGCAAGGCUUAAACACAUGCAAGUCGAACGAUGUAGCAAUACAUAGUGGCGCACGGGUGAGUAACGCGUGGAAUAUACCUUAUAGUGGGAAUAACUUGGGAAACUAAAGCUAAUACCGCAUACGCCCGAGAGGGGAAAGAUUUAUCGCUAUAAGAUUAGCCCGCGUAGGAUUAGGUAGUUGGUGGGGUAAAGGCCUACCAAGCCGACGAUCCUUAGCUGGUCUGAGAGGAUGAUCAGCCACACUGGGACUGAGACACGGCCCAGACUCCUACGGGAGGCAGCAGUGGGGAAUAUUGGACAAUGGGCGAAAGCCUGAUCCAGCAAUGCCGCGUGAGUGAUGAAGGCCUUCGGGUCGUAAAGCUCUUUUGUCCGGGAAGAUAAUGACUGUACCGUAAGAAUAAGCACCGGCUAACUACGUG
rnacentral:rRNA from 1 species